UCCGAUGUGGUCUAGUGGCUAGGAUUUGUCGCUCUCAUUGGUGUCCACACCACAGAACCGACAAGGCCGGGGGUAAGAAACACUCAACCACCAUCAACUGAGCCACUUCUGACUCAUAAAUCAGUUCGAUUCCCCGCAUCGGAA